rnacentral:rRNA from 1 species
CAGACGGGUGAGUAACGCGUGGGAACGUACCCUUUACUACGGAAUAACGCAGGGAAACUUGUGCUAAUACCGUAUGUGCCCUUCGGGGGAAAGAUUUAUCGGUAAGGGAUCGGCCCGCGUUGGAUUAGCUAGUUGGUGGGGUAAAGGCCUACCAAGGCGACGAUCCAUAGCUGGUCUGAGAGGAUGAUCAGCCACAUUGGGACUGAGACACGGC